rnacentral:lncRNA from 1 species
UAUUUUUUCAAAACAAAAACAUAGAUAUAUAUGAUCCUUGCAAAAUCUCAUACAAAACCUAAAUAAUAAUUCAACCCGUGAUAUCAAAACAAUAGUAAGUACUACGAAUCAACUUAAAAAGUUUUCCACAACAUAAAACAUGAACCGAAAACAGAAAUAAAAAAUCAAAAACACCUCUUUUUUCUUCCCCAACAAAACGAUUUUCAACGGUAAGAUUUCUGGAACCUAGCACGAAGUGAAUUCAUUUGAGAAAAGAGGAAAAAUCAAAGAGAAGAAUGAAAGUUGGAAAAGAGGAACAAUGUUUAUGAUGAUCUAUUGUUAUGUGUUUUG